rnacentral:rRNA from 1 species
CCCGGGUUCCGUUGUACACACCGCCCGUCACACCAUGGGAGCGGGAUGUACCAGAAGUAGGUAGGCUAACCGCAAGGGGGCCGCUUACCACGGUGCGUUUCGUGACUGGGGUG